UACGUAGGGACCGAGCGUUGUCCGGAAUCAUUGGGCGUAAAGAGCGUGUAGGCGGCUAUUUAAGUCCUGCGUGAAAUCCUGCGGCUCAACCGCAGACGGUCGUGGGAAACUGGAUGGCUAGAGUGCGGGAGAGGAGAGUGGAAUUCCCGGUGUAGCGGUGAAAUGCGCAGAUAUCAGGAAGAACACCAAUGGCGAAAGCAGCUCUCUGGGACGGUACUGACGCUGAGACGCGAAAGCGUGGGGAGCGAACAGG
rnacentral:rRNA from 1 species